rnacentral:RNase_P_RNA from 1 species
UGCACCGGCUAACUGCUGCAAAUUUUAAAUUUGUAGAGGAAAGUCCGCGCUAGUACAAUCUGAGAUGGUUGUAGUGAUCGUGUUAGCCCAAAUAAGGCUAAGCUCGUACGUCAGGUAGAAACUCUAGAAGUCAAAACCUAAAGUGCCACAGAGACGAGAAGGGGCGACCCGGAAAUGAAACGCGGUAAACACCACGAACUAGAAACCCAAAUUAUGGUAGGGGAACUAAACUAAGAGAAUUCAAUCAAGGUUUGGUGCCGAAAGGUAAGAGAAAUAGUUAGCAUCCGUAAGGAUACAGAACGCGGCUUAUAAGU